rnacentral:tmRNA from 1 species
CACAGCCCCUUGCGCUCGCUGCGUAAGUAAGGCAAACGCUCAGGCUACGGCCUGACGUCGACCGUCCACUCGAUCGUGGUGGGCGGACCCGACGUUAAUACCAGCGAUCUCGCCCUCCGCCGGCGUCACGGCGACGGAGGGGACGUACACCGUGACUGGCCGAUUCGGAGCCCGGUCCCAGGGCGCCGCGCCGGCGAGAUGAAAACCGGGACUACGCUCGUAGAUGUCACGUUGGACGCGGCUUCGGACCCGGGUUCGAUUCCCGGCGCCUCCACCA